GGCGAACGCUGGCGGCGUGCCUAAUACAUGCAAGUAGAACGCACAGUUUAUACCGUAGCUUGCUACACCAUAAACUGUGAGUUGCGAACGGGUGAGUAACGCGUAGGUAACCUGCCUGGUAGCGGGGGAUAACUAUUGGAAACGAUAGCUAAUACCGCAUAAUAUUGAUUAUUGCAUGAUAAUUGAUUGAAAGAUGCUAUUGCAUCACUACCAGAUGGACCUGCGUUGUAUUAGCUAGUAGGUGAGGUAACGGCUCACCUAGGCGACGAUACAUAGCCGACCUGAGAGGGUGAUCGGCCACACUGGGACUGAGACACGGCCCAGACUCCUACGGGAGGCAGCAGUAGGGAAUCUUCGGCAAUGGACGAAAGUCUGACCGAGCAACGCCGCGUGAGUGAAGAAGGUUUUCGGAUCGUAAAGCUCUGUUGUAAGAGAAGAACGGGUGUGAGAGUGGAAAGUUCACACUGUGACGGUAUCUUACCAGAAAGGGACGGCUAACUACGUG
rnacentral:rRNA from 1 species